GGGGGUUACGGACUUCACUCCAAACCCAUGUGAACAUACCUACUGUUGCUUCGGCGGGAUUGCCCCGGGCGCCUCGUGUGCCCCGGAUCAGGCGCCCGCCUAGGAAACUCAUCUCUUGUUUUAUUUUGGAAUCUUCUGAGUAGUUUUUACAAAUAAAUAAAAACUUUCAACAACGGAUCUCUUGGUUCUGGCAUCGAUGAAGAACGCAGCGAAAUGCGAUAAGUAAUGUGAAUUGCAGAAUUCAGUGAAUCAUCGAAUCUUAGAACGCACAUUGCGCCCGCCAGUAUUCUGGCGGGCAUGCCUGUCUGAGCGUCAUUUCAACCCUCAUGCCCCUAGGGCGUGGUGUUGGGGAUCGGCCAAAGCCCGCGAGGGACGGCCGGCCCCUAAAUCUAGUGGCGGACCCGUCGUGGCCUCCCCUGCGAAGUAGUGAUAUUCCGCAUCGGAGAGCGACGAGCCCCUGCCGUUAAACCCCCAACUUUCCAAGGUUGACCUCAGAUCAGGUAGGAAUACCCGCUGUUAAACAGCAUAUCAAUAGGCCGGAGGAAAUAUUACCGAGUUUACAACUCCAAACCAUGUGAACAUACCUACUGUUGCUUGGCGGGAUUGCCCGGGCGCUCGUGUGCCCGGAUCAGCGCCGCCUAGGAAACUCACUCUGUUUUAUUUUGGAAUCUUCUGAGUAGUUUUUACAAUAAAUAAAAACUUUCAACAACGGAUCUCUUGGGUUCUGGCAUCUAUGAAAGAACGCGGAAAUGCAUAAGUAAUGUGAAUUGCAGAAUCGUGAAUCAUCGAAUCUUUGAACGCCCAUUGCGCCGCAGUAUACUGUCGGAAGCUG
rnacentral:rRNA from 1 species